GGAUUUCCUCGACUGGAAGACGCGCCGUUUCUCGCUCCUCGCGGAUCCCGAGCCUACCUGUCUGCCCUCCAGCGCGCACACGCCCCACCCAAACCCCCAGAGAGACCGGACCCUGGACCCUGCAGCCACCCGCCGCUAGCUUUUCCCUGCUCUACUCAAUGAGCCGAUCGCUUCCUGAUCCUUCCCUUCCCGUGGACCAGACCAGAGUUUUCAUUCCCUGCCACUGUGUUCCGUUUCUUUCUCAAAUAAAUUCACUAUAUUUUCA